CCUACGGGCGGCAGCAGUGGGGAAUAUUGGGCAAUGGGCGCAAGCCUGACCCAGCAACGCCGCGUGAAGGAAGAAGGCUCUCGGGUUGGAAACUUCUUUUUUCAGGGACGAAGAAAGUGACGGUACCUGAGGUAUAAGCCACGGCUAACUACGUGCCAGCAGCCGCGGUAAUACGGAGGAGGCAAGCGUUAUGCGGAUUUAUUGGGUGUAAAGGGCGUGUAGGCGGGAGGGCAAGUCAGAUGUGAAAACUCAGGGCUCAACCCUGAGCCUGCAUUUGAUACUGUGUUUCUUGAGUGCAGGAGAGGCAAUCGGAAUUCAGGGUGUAGCGGUGAAAUGCGUAGAUAUACGGAAGAACACCGAUGGCGAAGGCAGAUUGCUGGACAGUAACUGACGCUGAGGCGCGAAAGCGUGGGGAGCAAACAGGAUUAGAUACCCUUGUAGUC
rnacentral:rRNA from 1 species